GCCUUACCUUUUUACCACUUCUACUGCCAAAAGAAAGAAACAGAAAGGCUGUUGGUUGUCUCGCCAACUGACCCCAAGCUCACUGACCUCUAGCCUGAUCUAUUUCAUUAGCUCCCAAGACUAGUCUGGGAAUGCUGAGUCUAUGUACAAAGGCUACCGGCUUAUCAGUGCACAUAACCCGAGGAAUCUCAGCACUCAGACCAGUUCAGUGAGAGGUCCGGGCACAAAUCAGGAGUAGCUACAAAAUCUGACUCAAGUUGCAGGUGAACUUCUGUCUAUCUCACAGAGGAGCAAAGCCUAGAAGAUCCCUAACAGAAUCCAGGACAAAGGAAUGCUCAUGGCCAAAGUUGCCAGAUAAAAUGCAGGACAUUUGGUGAAACUUCUAUUUCGGAUAAGUAAUUUUUUAGUAUAAAUAUGAUCAGUACAUUUGGGAUUAUUUGUAACUGUAAAAGUUACGUUGUGGUGAGUUUAAAUUUAAUUGGACGAUUUUCAUUUUCAGUUGCCAAAUCCCCAACUCUAUUUAAGACACUACACCUCUCCAGCUCCUGUGCACUCCGGUUGCUAAGUGAGGAAAUGCGAAGACCAGCCUUGACUCCUCCCGGAACAAAGUGGAGCUGACAUCACAUCCGGAUUUGGCCAGCAGCCAGGUGACCGGAAGUGACGUCGCCCGAGACUAACGGCCUGUAAUCUUCGCGAGAGAAAUUAUGCCGCACGAUACUAGGUGUCGCAGAAAGUAAGGGGCUGCUGUCGCCUGGAUUCGCCUCCGUCUGGGCCAGGAAUGAUUUCCAAGGUCCAUGUACGUCCUUGAGACGCAAACUUACCUUUCCGCCGCUUCCAGCAGUGGAGACCGGAAGUGCUCUGUUGGGUGGGGAUUAACCCGGAAAUGGCCCGUCUGGGGCUUCCCUAGAGACCGGGAUCGCGGGUUAGAACGUGCGUGCCUCACUGGCCUCCAGAAAACCUGGAAAGAGGUGUAUGGAGUCCUCCGGUUUCUGCAUUCCUGCAGUGGAUUCUCAGUGAUUUGUAAUGAUCCUUCCCUGUUCAUCCUGUUAGAUACUGUCAGUCAUUAAAUACACCCCGAAUUCCUGUCAGGUGCCGGACUCCAGGCUGAACCAUCA